rnacentral:rRNA from 1 species
GCAUGCCUUACACAUGCAAGUCGAACGGUAACAGGUCUUCGGAGCUGACGAGUGGCGAACGGGUGAGUAAUACAUCGGAACGUGCCCAGUCGUGGGGGAUAACUACUCGAAAGAGUAGCUAAUACCGCAUACGAUCUGAGGAUGAAAGCGGGGGACCUUCGGGCCUCGCGCGAUUGGAGCGGCCGAUGGCAGAUUAGGUAGUUGGUGGGAUAAAAGCUUACCAAGCCGACGAUCUGUAGCUGGUCUGAGAGGACGACCAGCCACACUGGGACUGAGACACGGCCCAGACUCCUACGGGAGGCAGCAGUGGGGAAUUUUGGACAAUGGGCGAAAGCCUGAUCCAGCAAUGCCGCGUGCAGGAUGAAGGCCUUCGGGUUGUAAACUGCUUUUGUACGGAACGAAAAAGCUCUCCUAAUACGAGNGGCCCAUGACGGUACCGUAAGAAUAAGCACCGGCUAACUAC